GUGAACGCUGGCGGUAGGCCUAACACAUGCAAGUCGAACGGCAGCACAGUAAGGGCUUGCUCUUACGGGUGGCGAGUGGCGGACGGGUGAGGAAGACAUCGGAAUCUACUUUUUCGUGGGGGAUAACGUAGGGAAACUUACGCUAAUACCGCAUACGACCUACGGGUGAAAGCAGGGGAUCUUCGGACCUUGCGCGAUUGAAUGAGCCGAUGUCGGAUUAGCUAGUUGGCGGGGUAAAGGCACACCAAGGCGACGAUCCGUAGCUGGUCUGAGAGGAUGAUCAGCCACACUGGAACUGAGACACGGUCCAGACUCCUACGGGAGGCAGCAGUGGGGAAUAUUGGACAAUGGGCGCAAGCCUGAUCCAGCCAUACCGCGUGGGUGAAGAAGGCCUUCGGGUUGUAAAGCCCUUUUGUUGGGAAAGAAAAGCAGCAGGUUAAUCCCCCGCUGUUCUGACGGUACCCAAAGAAUAAGCACCGGCUAACUUCGUG
rnacentral:rRNA from 1 species